UACGUAGGGGCCCAGCGUUGUCCGGAUUCAUUGGGCGUAAAGCGCGCGCAGGCGGCCCGGUGUGCCGCCCGUGAAAUCCCCCGGCUCAACCGGGGGGGGUCGGGCGAGACUGUCGGGCUGGAGGCGGGUAGGGGGCAGCGGAAUUCCCGGUGUAGUGGUGGAAUGCGUAGAUAUCGGGAGAAACACCAGUGGCGAAGGCGGCUGCCUGGACCCGGCCUGACGCUGAGGCGCGAAAGCGUGGGGAGCGAUCCGG
rnacentral:rRNA from 1 species